UCAGCUCGUGUCGUGAGAUGUUGGGUUAAGUCCCGCAACGAGCGCAACCCCUACGUUUAGUUGCUAACGUGUAACGAUGAGCACUCUAGGCGGACUGCCGUUGACAAACGGAGGAAGUGGGGAUGACGUCAAAUCAUCAUGCCCCUUAUGUUCUGGGCUACACACGUGCUACAAUGGCCGGUACAAAGGGACGCAAAGCCGCGAGGUGGAGCAAAUCCGAUAAAAGCCGGUCUCAGUUCGGAUUGCAGGCUGAAAUUCGCCUGCAUGAAGUCGGAAUCGCUAGUAAUCGCAGGUCAGCAUACUGCGGUGAAUACGUUCCCGGGCCUU
rnacentral:rRNA from 1 species